rnacentral:rRNA from 1 species
AUUGAACGCUGGCGGCAUGCUUUACACAUGCAAGUCGAACGGCAGCAUGGGCUUCGGCCUGAUGGCGAGUGGCGAACGGGUGAGUAAUACAUCGGAACAUGCCUAGUUGUGGGGGACAACUACUCGAAAGAGUAGCUAAUACCGCAUAAGAUCUACGGAUGAAAGCAGGGGACCUUCGGGCCUUGCGCAACUAGAGUGGCCGAUGGCAGAUUAGGUAGUUGGUGAGGUAAAGGCUCACCAAGCCUGCGAUCUGUAGCUGGUCUGAGAGGACGACCAGCCACACUGGGACUGAGACACGGCCCAGACUCCUACGGGAGGCAGCAGUGGGGAAUUUUGGACAAUGGGCGAAAGCCUGAUCCAGCAAUGCCGCGUGCAGGACGAAGGCCUUCGGGUUGUAAACUGCUUUUGUACAGAACGAAAAGCUCUGGGUUAAUACCCUGGGGUCAUGACGGUACUGUAAGAAUAAGCACCGGCUAACUACGUGCCAGCCGCCGCGGUAA